AGUCGCGCUUGCCGUACUGUGCAUAUUCCUAAGUUCCUACCUCUUUCAUUUUAUCUCGAAACGUUCUUGGAGAUAGUUGCUCGAGAAAUCCGAAGUAAUCCAGCGAUUCUGGGGCGAUCUAGAAUCGUGUAAACGACGAGAUGAGAGCUAAGUGGCGUAAGAAGAGGAUGCGCAGGCUAAAGCGCAAGAGGAGGAAGAUGCGCGCGAGGUCCAAAUAAGUGGCUCUUUUCCGUGAAUCUCUCUGUGGGAAAAACAGACCUGCGACGUUUCACCGUUCGAUAAACGCUCCUAACUGAUUGGAAAUUCCCAGGGAGACAAAUCUUCAACAGGCACGUUUUUCGCACUGAGAAAGUUUUGUACACACAAAUCUUGUUUGGUUAAAUAUAUCGACUACUCAAGACAGUAUA